rnacentral:ncRNA from 1 species
UGAGGUGCCAAAGCAGAUGCGAUGGUGAAACGGGAAGCCAGUUCAACGCAAGUUUGCCCCCGGCAAACUUAAGCCAAUCUGGCGCUGCCCCCGCAACGGUAGGCAAAGAGCCUGUAUCAUAAGCCAUUAUGGCAAUCGGCCAUGAGAAGGCGAUACAACCGGCAGUCUUUGCAAGCCCGGAGACCGGCCUGAUGCG